ACGUGCAGGAUGCCAAGUUAAUCAGGAUGCCAAGAAACCAGCUUUCAUGAAAAAAAAGAACACGUUGGGAUCAGGAGCAUUAGAGGAUGCAGAAAGCCCCAUCCUGUAGAUUUCGAAGAAAUAAAAAUCGAAGUGUAUCCAAUCGAUAAGACAGAAGCGCCUAGGCUGUAAUGAGACGUCUGGAAACCUUGACGUAAUUGUGAAUGAGAAAAAAAAGAUGCUGCUGUCAAAGAAGUAAACUCUCUCAAGAACAGGGCAUCUACAGUAUAUCAGAUUGUCCUGUGGAAGGACUGUCAUGACCAUAGGGGCCACUAGAGGCCGCUAAAAACAUUGCAACAAAGUUUGUGUUCAGGAGAAGCUGAAUGGAGAAGACUGUUUGAGGGGAGAGGAGGCUGUUAGAAUACUGAUGCGCCGAGGUGUCUAGGAUACAAUCUGCAACAGGACACACAGCAAGAGCUCCUGGAGCCUGAUUGGCUCAUUGCUUGUCUUCUUGUUCUGCUGCAGUUUCUCUCCUAGGCUCCAGCUUACUCUGAGAAGACCCGUAGAGUGACUCUCGUUAUCACGGAAAUCACGAGAACAGGUUUUUUGUUUUUCGUUUGAAGGAAAGUGCUUCUUCAAUUUCGGCAAAACUGCUUUUCACAGAUUCUUGCUGCUAAAGAGCUGUUUUUAAUUUGCUGUAAUGAAGGAAGUGAAUUUGUUGCACAGGAAAAGCGAAAGGAAGAAUGUAAUUGGUCCUUGG
rnacentral:lncRNA from 1 species